GCCGUUGUAGCUCAGUCGGUAGAGCGCGUCCAUGGUAAGGACGAGGUCACCGGUUCAAUCCCGGUCAACGGCUCCA
rnacentral:tRNA from 1 species